rnacentral:sRNA from 1 species
AAUUGCACAUAACGUAAUAGUAUAAUUAAUUUAUCAAUAUUUUAAAAUAUUUUAAAUUUUUCCACUCACUUAAUUAUGUACGCAAAAUCCGUUUGGUUGGUCGGCUAUCCCGAUAUUCAUAUUGCCGCCUGAAAUAUGAUAUAAUAUUUAGAGUAACAAUUAACUAUUUUAAGAAAUUAUGAUAAUUAGAUAGGCGAUAUCGAAACUUAAUCUUUUCAUAGUUCAGCAAUUUCUAAAGUUCCUUUAAUCACUUAAUUUAAUUUUUCUUUCAUCUAACUUAAUUACAUCGUGCUUAAUACUUAAUUCAAUAAUUUUCUUUCAAUAAAAUUGAAUUUAAACAAAUAAUUCGACAACCCUAAAAUUUAACAUAACAUUUCAGUACGUAACUUUUCACUUCCUUUGAAAUUGAAGAAUUCAAACUUAAUAGUAAAAAGCAUUUAUUUUCUAACAACGUUGGCAAAUUUUCCUAUUUUUUUCUUCUUCCUCUUUUAUUUUUCUCUUUCUUUCCUCUCUAUAUCUCGACUUGUUUUUGUAUGUUUGCGUGUUUUUUGCAUGUAAAUGAAUUGAUUUGGAAUGAGUUAAUAUAUAUCUAAUGCACCGCCUGCCCUUUCUUUGCUAUAAUAUUUUUUUUUUCUUGUAUCUAGAUUGACCUUUUUUACUUUAGUUUUAUGUUUUGACCUUUUUUUAAUUAAUUAAUGUAUUACAUAUACUGGUUAAUCUCCAAUUCAACACCUCAUUCACUUUCAUGUUUAUCAUCAGGCUUGCAUGGGGCUCAUAAUGUGCACGAAGAACACUAUGUCUCAUAAUAUAAACAAGCAACAUACUCUAUCAUGUCCACUUGAUUCUAUAAAACCAGCUCUCUAACAUCCAUUAUGUCUAUUGUAUAUAGAUUGAUGCAGAAAAUAAAUCAACUAAAUAAGUCUACGUUUGCCCACCCCAAGUAUACCUAUUAAGUACAAUGAUCAUAUUGUUAACUCAUUAUCCAUAUAACUCACCAAACAAAAUGAUGUUUUAGAAAGUAAGAAUCGACACCUUGCAAAAAACAUGUCGAAGUAUGCCAUAUGUAAAGAAUGUGCCAGGAAGGUUUUGGGCUGAGUGUAUGAGGACAGCAGCACAUGUGACCAACAAGCUACCACAAUUAAAGUUGGGGUUCGUUUCAGCAUUUGUAAAACUGUGGAAAUGAAGCCAAUGGUAAGUCACGUUCGUGUUUUUGGAUGUGUCUGUUAUGUUCCUAUGCCUGAUUACUUAAAGAGUAUAUUUGAUAAGAUGACAAUCAUGUGUAUAUUUAUGGGAUAUAACAAUUAAAUUAAAUGGUGGAGAUGUUGCGACCAUACAACUAAUAAUUGUUACACGCCAAGGAAUGUGGUGUUUAACGAUACAUCUUCAUGGUGGACACCGUGGAGAGUGGAGUUACUAGAUUCAAAGGAAAUAGACGACAAAUUGCAAGAGGAAAUCACAGAAGCACUACAAAGUCCUGAAGAAACAAAAGGAUGCACAAGAAUUAAGUGAUGAUAAAUAGUAUACUAGCACAAUACAAAGUCUUUGGCAGAUGGGUGUACAUCAGACAAUACUAGAGGAUAUACAACCAAGUUGAUAAGAAGAGGUUGAGGUACGGACAAACCCAAAACCAUAGUUGAGAAAAUCAACUAGACAAAGAAAACCAAAUCCCAAGUAUGCUAACACGACAGUAGAAGAAGAUAAUAGUGCCAAAGACCCAGAGACCUUUGAAGAAACUAUCCAACACAUAGAGUAAAGAAAAGCAACGGAAGAAGAGUUUGUGGCUCUAAAGCAAAAUGGGACUUGGAAUUUGAUGCCAAGGCCUAAUGGAGUAAAGCCUAUAUCCUACAAGUGGGUAUUCAAAGUAAAUAAAUGCCUAGAUGGAUCGAUUGAAAGAUAAAAAAACUCGACUAGUAGCUCGUGAAUUUUUUCAACAAUAUGGUCUAGACUGUGACAAGACGUUUAGUCUAGUGGCAAAGAUCACAACAGUAAGAGUACUUAUAGCUUUAGCAACAAGCAAAUCUUGGAAGUUAUGAUAGAUGUGAAAAAUGCAUUUCUUCAUGGAUAAUUUGAUCGAGACAUAUACAUGGAGAAACCAAAGGUAUUCAAGAAUAAUGCUACCAAGCUAAAGAAAACUCUUUGUGGGUUAAAGCACGUGCCAAGAGCCUGGUACAGAAAGACAGCAAAAUUUUUAGUUCAAAGUGGAUACUCGGUAGCAACAACAGCCUCGAGCUUAUUCAUCAAAGUACAAAAUAGAAAACUAACAAUAGUGCUAGUGUACGUGGAUGAUCUUAUCAUCAUUGGAGAUAAUAAAAAUCAAAUGAAAGAGUUGGGAAAAUUAAAUUAUUUUUUGGGACUCGAGAUGGAAAGGACAAAAGAAGGGUUAUUCUUGUUCCAACAUCAAAAUGCUAGAGAUCUCUUACUGAAGUUUGGUAUGAUCGAUAGCAAACCAAUAUCAACACCAAUCGAGAUUAACUCCAGGCUAUGUGCAGAUGAAGGCAAGGAUCUGAAGAAUGCAACCAUGUAUCGACAGCUGGUAAGGAGCCUAAUCUACUUGAUACUAACACAACCUAAUAUCAUAUACAUAAUAGGGAUAGCAAGCCGCUUUAUGGAAAAGCUAAUGAAGUUGCACCCUGAAGUAGUGCGAUGAAUUUUAAGGUACGUAAAAAGAACAAUUAAUUAUGGACUAUUUUAUAAGAAAAAUAAAGAUUGCAAGGUUGUUGGCUGUUGUGAUGUGGACUAUGCUGGAUGUCACGAUACACGAAGAUCGACAAUUGGGUGUGUGUUUAGUCUUGGAUUUGUUGUAGUGUCAUGGUGCAAUAAGAGACAACCAGCCGUGUCUUUGUCAACUUCAGAGGCUAAGUAUAGAGUAACAGCAAUGGCAACUCAAGAAAGUACAUGGCUAAUACAAUUGAUGAAGAAUCUACAUCAACCAAUAAGCUAUGCAAUGGAAUUCUAUUGCGAUAAUCAAUCAGCUAUUCAUAUAGCAAAAAAUCUAGUGUGCUAUAAAAGAACUAAGCACGUCGAAGUGCACUAUCAUUUCGUUAGAGAAAAUGUGCUUAAAGGAGAUAUAGACUUGAAACAUGUUAACACUGAAGAAAAAGUUGUAGACGUGUUAACGAAAGGAUUUAGUACUUCAAAAAUUUGUAGAAUUUUUUAACACAAUAGGGUAUUAUAAAAAGAAAAUACUUAAAAUGAAAAGUUAUGUUGAAAGGGAUAAUUGAAUAUCACCACCAACAUAGAAAAAUUUUCAGAAUUUUGUGGACUUAUCCAUCUCAUAUUUUACAGACCAUUCUUGAUGCUUCUUCUGGAAGAAGGUCAGGAAUUUUCUAGAACAUGCUAAAUGAUGAUGUUGCGGAAGCUCUCUCAAAAGGAUCUUCAAACGGUGAUUUUCCAAGCUCAGUCCAAUGUACCUUUUUCAACCAACAACCAGUCUAAUAGGCACCAAACCACAACCAAUUGAUUCAUCUUGGUUGCUAUGCAAUCUUACCCACGUAGGACAAAAAAGAAUGAUGAUUUAUGGCCACAAAGACUAAGAGAAGAUACCACAAAGGUAUAUUAUGAAUGAACCACCAAUUGCACACAUUAUACAAGCGUUCUGGACAUUUAUGGACACCUUUUUCUCACACAAAGGGGGGCAGCCGGUAUUCACUAUUUCUUCUCUUAAAAUCACACAAAACAUCAUAUGAAAGUGGCUAGGGUUAUAGCCAAAUAUAUACUGUAGGAUUAGGCUUUAAGUUAGGCCAUUAAAGGGGUAAAUGGACCAAGAUUCAAGUCAUCCAUAAGAAAUACAAUUGGGCAGGGUGUAGCUCAUGGACUUGGUUGUUGGACUUAUUUCAUUCAUCGGCCUAUGCCUAUGAAAUAAUAUUAACCCACGUUAACAUCAUAGCCCGAGAUUUAUUGGGUAUCAAAAAUCCAACAGAUGAUCUCCAUUAUCAUGAAUGGAAUUAUCUAGAAUCACUGCACUAACAUAGUAAAAAUUGUAGGAGCCGCGACAUUGUCAUCUAUAUAUGUACAUCUUGUUGUAUUGUAUUGUGUGAAAGUAAGUGUAUGAAAAGUGAAGAGAGUGGUGAGCAAAGAGAGAAAUAGGUAGAUAUAGAUACAACAGUGUGUGUGUGUUUUGUUGGAGAGAGAAAGUGAUUAGUUGUGGUGAGCAAACGAGUGAGUAAGGAAAGUUAAUGGGAUGAUAUAAUUAAAUAGUGAAGUGCUUGCUUGAGUAGAAUUUAGUAUGGUGUGGUAAAAUGUGUUUGUCACAAAAUUAAUUGUAUAAGUUUCUUUAAACUCAGCAAGGAAAACUAAGAAAAAGAAGAUUCACCAAUUUACCUUGUUUUUUGAAGGCACCCCAUUCCUAGGAAAUAUCACGUCACUCCCUUUAGAAAUGAAAAGAAAUAAUACAAGAAGCGGGGGAUUUAAAGAGAAAACAUCAUAUUUUAUUUUAAAUGUAUUUUCAAAAAUGUGCAUGCAUUGUUACUAACAUGCUUAAAGACUAUACCUAAAAACCAAUGCUCUUAUAGGAUGGUCAGUGUGACGGUUGGAGCUCCACCUGUAACUUCUCUCAACUGUAGCUCAGGAAUGAAGUGAAAUCAGCUGGGUUAGCUGCUAUUUCCACAAAGUAAAGACAAAUUAGAAUGGGGAAGGGAAUAAAUGAAAAAAAUAAGAAUAAAGGGGAGAGAAAUUAUGUUGAAAGUUUCAACAAAUUUUAUUGAAAGGUCUAUAAUUUGGAAACUGAAAAAACAAAGCCAUACAUAUCAGCCUAUAUCUAAAUCUUCCAAUUGUUGAGAAAAAAAUGUUUACCAUUACAAAAGCAAUACGUUUCUUUAACUAAAUUUAAAAUUUAUCCCAAUCCCGAAACGGCGUUGCCCACUUAAAAUUCUGGUAAUUCAGUUGAUCGACCUCUUCCUUCUUCCUCUGGCUUUUUGAUCUGAUUCUCUUUCUCCCCUAUUGAUUCUCCAUGUGACAGUCAGUGACCAACACAUGAUCAUUGGUAACCACUUCAGCACCUUAUGCAAUUACCGAUCUUCCGAAAGAAACUCCAUGAAUUGAACCUCGUUGCUUGUAUAUAAGUAACUACGUGUCAUUUCUUUCCUUUAUCAACAUAAAUUUUAAAUAUAACAUUUGAAGUCAAGGCAUGAAGCUAUUAGCCCAACUCCGAGAUUGAACAAAGAACUUACCAUCAACACAAACCAUUUAACUUAUUCAUUCAACUAACACAUUCCUAGUUACUAUGCAAGUAGAUUAUCCUACAGUUAUUGGUGUCCUAUUGGAAAAUUAAAUCAGCAAUAUUUUAGAUAUGCAUCCAUUUUUAUCCCACCAAAAUAAAAAUUAUUAUUGAACUUAUCAAUGGAAGAAAACGAUGGAGGUAAAUAGAAGAUAAACAUUCUAAUUUAUUAAUAAUUACAUAUUGCAAAAUAGAAGACAAAUAUCUAUGAAUAUCACAAUAUAUAGAGCUAUCGCAAAAUCGAAGAUAUAUUACAAACUUGGAUUGUGACUGCCCACCGCAACCAGCAUCACUAUCGCCACAGAAAAGCUUCCCCUACCCCUACUGUAGCCAAGUCCACAAAAUCACCAUCUGUUAACCUACCAAGAUGAUGACUGAGAUAAAAGUUGGCUCAAAGAUAGAGAAGGGAAAGGAGGGCGAAAAUGGAGUUAGAGAUUUGGAUAUAAUGCAACAUUGGAAUGAGUAUAUAGGAGAAAAAAAAAUAUGUUAAAAAUAAUAGAAAGGAGAAAGAAUAAUUUUAGUGGGAGGGAAAUUAGAUAGAAUGUAAAUCUUCCUAUCCGUUUUCAUAGAUAUUUAAAUAUUUUCACCAAGUUUACAACAAAAUUUUCAAUUAGUAACUAUUUUCUUAAAUUUACAUAAAAAGUUUUACCAAAAAGUUUUUCAUUGGUAAUUAUUUUAUCAUCUAUUGAAAAAAUUUAAUUCAUUUUUUGUUUAUAUUUAUUAUUUAUCGACGGAUUAGCAACGGAAUUAUACCAAUGGAAAACUUCCGUUAGUAACUCUGUCUGUAAUUUAAUAUAUAAUUUUCAUUGAUAAUUAUUUUAUUCUUUUUAUCAUCCAAAUUUGUUGGUAAAUUAUUUAAUUUAUUUUUCAUUUGUUUUUAAUUAUUUACCAACAGAUUAACAUCGAAAUUGUAACAAUGGAAGACUUCCGUUGGGAACCCCAUCGAUAAUUUAAUAUUUACUUUUUAAAAAUAAUAAAAUAAUAAUUCGUUGCUAAUUUGUUAUUAAUUCAUUGGUAUUAGCAACAAAAGACUUCCAUCGCCAAAUUUCCAUCUCUGUUGCCUCCCUUUCUAGUAGUACUCAAAAUUCAGGCACGAUUUCAUCACCAGGUCUGAGAAUUGAUAUUGUUCAAGUUUUGUUGCAUAUAGCCUUACAAAAUUAGUUAAGUAUGUAAUGUAUUAUUGCAAUAAGACUACUUGUACACCCAAAUGUGUACAAUUUGGUUGACACUUUCUAUGUGUUAAAAAUCUAACCAUUGAUUGAAUAAAGUAUUUUUAAAAUCAAUAUAUUCAAAUUUGCCAACACACAGGAGUGUAA